CACGUAGGGGGCGAGCGUUGUCCGGAUUUAUUGGGCGUAAAGAGCUCGUAGGCGGUUCGGCAAGUCGGGUGUGAAAUUUCGAGGCUCAACCUCGAAACGCCACUCGAUACUGCUGUGACUGGAGUCCGGUAGAGGAGUGCGGAAUUCCUGGUGUAGCGGUGAAAUGCGCAGAAUAUCAGGAGGAACACCAACGGCGAAGGCAGCACUCUGGGCCGGUACUGACGCUGGAGGAGCGAAAGCGUGGGGAGCAAACAGG
rnacentral:rRNA from 1 species